rnacentral:tRNA from 1 species
GGGUGCGUAGUUCAGUCUGGCAGAACAACCGGAGUGCGUCCGGAAGGCCCUAGGUUCGAAUCCUAGCGUACCCA